rnacentral:piRNA from 1 species
UGCUGGUGAUUCGGAUCAAGAUUCCAAAUA